CGCCAAAGGGCAAAGGGCAACUCCUGCUGCUGGCGGCAGGUGCUUGGCACGCGAUGGGCCACUGUGUGCAGACCGUUGGGAACUGUGGCGGCGCCGUCGGCCAGAGCCCUUGCCACCUGGGCACGGGCUCUGCAGGCUCCAGGGCACCUGGGCCAGGGCCUGGCGCGGGCUGCGUGUGGCUGUGUCGCCGUCCCCCCACACCAGUCACAGGCGGUGGCAGAGCCUGCUGGAGGCCAAGCCCAGAGACAAACCCCAUCCUGCCAGGCUCCUCCGGGGACCUCUCCACUCCUCUGCGCCGCCACAAGGAUGGCCAGCCCAGCUGCUAGGGUUUCUGAGAAGGGACACGGUGCCCACACCGGACUGGAUGCUGCACCCUAUGACAUCCCUUCCCGGCAGGCAGGUUCCGCUCACUUCCUUUUACAAAUUGGGUAAAACGAUCGUUCAGCCCUAGAGCAUUCCCCAGGUCACGCAGGUGGGAGUGGCCCGGCCAGGCCUUGAACCCAGCCUGCGUGGUUCUAGAGCGGUGCCUCCCGGGCACGUACACUUCAUAUAUUACCUUUUUUUUUUUUCCCUGUAGUUUUUAGGGAACUUAUGACCAUGGCAGAGCUGUACCAACCACAUGCACACCUAGGAGGAGGUCUUGUCUUCAACUCAACUCGAGUUGACCACGGCCCACACUGGGCUCCAGUCUCCUCAGAAGAUGUAGAGCAGGUCCGCCAACUGUCAACACGGCCUCAGCCCACAUUUCUCUUCUCAUGAAGCCUUGCACCCCAGAUUUUCCUUUUGGUCUGGCUUGAAGGAUCAAACUAUGUAAGGAUUAUUGUCUACAUCAAUUUUGGUCUAUCCUGAAAGAAAUUCACCUGUGGCUUAUUCCAUCUGGCUAAGAAGCCAGUUUCUGUGGCCUUCCUGGAAUUUGUCUAGAAAGCAAAUGUAUUUAUUUACAGGUUAAUAGUUGAGCGCUGUAUUGGAUGCAAACAGGGUCAACACAAUUGGAACAUCAUGAUCGUGCCAGCAGGGUCCACUCUUCACCACACAUUAUGGUCACCUAAACAUAACUCUAGAUAUUCUUGUGCCCAAGAGAGGAGACAUAAUUUUGGGUGUCAGGAUAAAGGAAACAUGAAUCAUUGUCCUAGAAGCUGGAAGCUUCAGGAUGACAAGAAACAUUAGAAAAUCCUGCAGGAAUGAUUCUAAAAUCUACAUAUAAUCUUGUUGUCUUUUUGCUUAUGAUCCUUUCAUGACUUGUCACACUUCCAGGAAAAUGGAGCAAUGCCCCAAUGCCUCAUCAUGGCAGAUGCAAGAGGCUGGAUGCCAAUCCUAGCCUCCCCGAGUGACUUGGGAAUGUGUGAAGAUGACCGGCCUAAGCUUACGUUAUAGAAAAAGACACACUUAAACAUUUAUAAAUACUAAUACUAAAAUCAGAAAGUGUGUUUCCUGGGAGGAGGGGCAGAGAUGGAGGGCUGGAAGCAGACUGCACACGCUGCUUUCACGGAGAAGAUGGAAAGUGUUCAGGGGAUAUUCACUUUCAGAUUGAGGAUCUGAAAGAGAACGUUGGGAAUCAAUAGAAAGGUGACUGGAGGCUCCCAAAGGGAAUGGGAGGGAAGGGAUGCAGCCCGCUCUGUGGGGUCAGAGGCACACAGGGAUGGUAUCUGCGUGUGGAGAAGGGACAGAGGAGGCACCCUCGGCUUCACCCUCUCCUGUGCACUCUGCAGUCUGAGCGGUGUGGGGGACCCUGUGCGUAG